UACGUAGGGGGCAAGCGUUGUCCGGAAUCAUUGGGCGUAAAGAGCGCGUAGGCGGUCCGGUAAGUCCGCUGUGAAAGUCGGGGGCUCAACCCUCGAAUGCCGGUGGAUACUGUCGGGCUAGAGUGCGGAAGAGGCGAGUGGAAUUCCUGGUGUAGCGGUGAAAUGCGCAGAUAUCAGGAAGAACACCCGUGGCGAAGGCGGCUCUCUGGGACGGUACUGACGCUGAGACGCGAAAGCGUGGGGAGCGAACAGG
rnacentral:rRNA from 1 species